AUUGAACGCUGGCGGCAGGCCUAACACAUGCAAGUCGAGCGGAGCGGCGGACGGGUGAGUAAUGCCUAGGAAUCUGCCUGGUAGUGGGGGAUAACGUCCGGAAACGGGCGCUAAUACCGCAUACUAUCAGAUGAGCCUAGGUCGGAUUAGCUACUUGGUGGGGUAAAGGCUUACCAAGGCGACGAUCCGUAACUGGUCUGAGAGGAUGAUCAGCCACACUGGAAAUGAAGCACGGUCCAGACUCCUACGGGAGGAAGGAGUGGGGAAUAUGGCACAAUGGGCGCAGGCCGGAGGCAGACAUGCCGCGUGUGUGAAGAAGGGCGUCGGGUUGUAGAGCACUUUCAGCGGGGGGGCGUUACCCGCAGAAGAAGCACCGAGUAACUCCGUGCCAGCAGCCGCGGUAAUAC
rnacentral:rRNA from 1 species